rnacentral:tRNA from 1 species
GGCUUUAUGGUCUAAAGGUUAAGACCUAACAACUUCACUGUUAGAAUACUGGUUCAAUUCCAGUUAAGGCCC